rnacentral:rRNA from 1 species
CCUACGGGAGGCAGCAGUGGGGAAUAUUGCACAAUGGGGGAAACCCUGAUGCAGCGACGCCGCGUGAGCGAAGAAGUAUUUCGGUAUGUAAAGCUCUAUCAGCAGGGAAGAUAAUGACGGUACCUGACUAAGAAGCCCCGGCUAACUACGUGCCAGCAGCCGCGGUAAUACGUAGGGGGCAAGCGUUAUCCGGAUUUACUGGGUGUAAAGGGAGCGUAGACGGCGUGGCAAGUCUGAUGUGAAAGCCCGGGGCUCAACCCCGGGACUGCAUUGGAAACUGUCUGGCUUGAGUGCCGGAGAGGUAAGCGGAAUUCCUAGUGUAGCGGUGAAAUGCGUAGAUAUUAGGAGGAACACCAGUGGCGAAGGCGGCUUACUGGACGGUAACUGACGUUGAGGCUCGAAAGCGUGGGGAGCAAACAGGAUUA